GUGGCGCACGGGUGAGUAACGCGUGGAUAUCUGCCUUUUGGUUCGGAAUAACUCCGGGAAACUGGGGCUAAUACCGGAUGGUUCCUUCGGGAUAAAGAUUUAUCGCCAAAAGAUGAGUCCGCGUACGAUUAGCUAGUUGGUGAGGUAAUGGCUCACCAAGGCGACGAUCGUUAGCUGGUCUGAGAGGACGAUCAGCCACACUGGGACUGAGACACGGCCCAGACUCCUACGGGAGGCAGCAGUGGGGAAUAUUGGACAAUGGGGGCAACCCUGAUCCAGCCAUGCCGCGUGAGUGAUGAAGGCCUUCGGGUUGUAAAGCUCUUUUGGCGGGGACGAUGAUGACGGUACCCGCAGAAUAAGCCCCGGCUAACUUCGUGCCAGCAGCCGCGGUAAGACGAAGGGGGCUAGCGUUGUUCGGAAUUACUGGGCGUAAAGCGAGUGUAGGUGGUUGUCCAAGUUGGAUGUGAAAGCCUUGAGCUCAACUCAAGAAAUGCAUUCAGGACUGGGCGACUAGAGGACCGGAGAGGAUAGUGGAAUUCCCAGUGUAGUGGUGAAAUACGUAGAUAUUGGGAAGAACACCAGUGGCGAAGGCGGCUAUCUGGACG
rnacentral:rRNA from 1 species